rnacentral:rRNA from 1 species
AACGACUCUCGGCAACGGAUAUCUCGGCUCUCGCAUCGAUGAAGAACGUAGCGAAAUGCGAUACUUGGUGUGAAUUGCAGAAUCCCGCGAACCAUCGAGUCUUUGAACGCAAGUUGCGCCCGAAGCGAACCCGCCGAGGGCACGUCUGCCUGGGUGUCACAC